AUUUUUUUAGUAUAUUAUAUAGUACAUUUGACUUCCAAUCAAAAAGUCUAAAAACUUAGAAAAAAUA
rnacentral:tRNA from 1 species